rnacentral:rRNA from 1 species
AACGAACGCUGGCGGCAGGCUUAACACAUGCAAGUUGAGCGCGUGGCAACACGAGCGGCAGACGGGUGGGUAACACGUGGGAACGUACCCUUUUCUACGGAAUAACGCAGGGAAACUUGUGCUAAUACCGUAUACGCCCUUUUGGGGAAAGAUUUAUCGGAGAAGGAUCGGCCCGCGUUGGAUUAGCUAGUUGGUGGGGUAAAGGCCUACCAAGGCGACGAUCCAUAGCUGGUCUGAGAGGAUGAUCAGCCACAUUGGGACUGAGACACGGCCCAAACUCCUACGGGAGGCAGCAGUGGGGAAUAUUGGACAGUGGGCGCAAGCCUGAUCCAGCCAUGCCGCGUGAGUGAUGAAGGCCUUAGGGUUGUAAAGCUCUUUCACCGAUGAAGAUAAUGACGGUAGUCGGAGAAGAAGCCCCGGCUAACUUCGUGCCAGCAGCCGCGGUAAUAC